UACGAAGGGAGCUAGCGUUGUUCGGAAUCACUGGGCGUAAAGCGCACGUAGGCGGAUGUGUCAGUCAGGGGUGAAAUCCCGGAGCUCAACUUCGGAACUGCCUUUGAUACAGCACAUCUGGAGUCCGGAAGAGGUGGGUGGAAUUCCUAGUGUAGAGGUGAAAUUCGUAGAUAUUCGCAAGAACACCAGUGGCGAAGGCGGCUCACUGGCCCGGUACUGACGCUGAGGCACGAAAGCGUGGGGAUCAAACAGG
rnacentral:rRNA from 1 species